rnacentral:rRNA from 1 species
GAUGAACGCUGGCGGCGUGCUUAACACAUGCAAGUCGAGCGAAGCACUUUUGCGGAUUUCUUCGGAUUGAAGCAACUGUGACUGAGCGGCGGACGGGUGAGUAACGCGUGGGUAACCUGCCUCAUACAGGGGGAUAACAGUUGGAAACGGCUGCUAAUACCGCAUAAGCGCACAGUACCGCAUGGUACCGUGUGAAAAACUCCGGUGGUAUGAGAUGGACCCGCGUCUGAUUAGCUAGUUGGUGGGUAACGGCCUACCAAGGCGACGAUCAGUAGCCGCCUGAGAGGGUGGACGGCCACAAGGGGACUGAGAUACGGCCCUU